rnacentral:rRNA from 1 species
CCUACGGGAGGCAGCAGUGGGGAAUAUUGCACAAUGGGGGAAACCCUGAUGCAGCGAAGCCGCGUGAGUGAAGAAGGAUUUAGGGAUGUAAAGCUGUAUCAGCAGGGAAGAAGAAAGACGGUACCUGACCAAGAAGCCCCGGCUAAAUACGUGCAAGCAGCCGCGGUAAUACGCAGGGGGCAAGCGUGAACCGGAGUUACUGGGGGUAAAGGGGGCGUAGAGGGCUGUGCAAGUCUGACGUGAAAGCCCAGGGCUCAACCCUGGGACUGCUUUGGAAACUGUGGUGCUAGAGUGCUGGAGAGGUAAGUGGAAUUCCUAGUGUAGCGGUGAAAUGCGUAGAUAGUACGAGGAACACCAGUGGCGAAGGUGGCUUACUGG